CGGGUGAGUAAUGUAUGGGGAUCUGCCUGAUGGCGGGGGAUAACUACUGGAAACGGUAGCUAAUACCGCAUAAUGUCUGCGGACCAAAGCGGGGGACCUCCGGGCCUCGCGCCAUCAGAUGAACCCAUAUGGGAUUAGCUUGUAGGUAGGGUAACGGCUUACCUAGGCGACGAUCCCUAGCUGGUCUGAGAGGAUGAUCAGCCACACUGGGACUGAGACACGGCCCAG
rnacentral:rRNA from 1 species